rnacentral:piRNA from 1 species
UAGUGUCUAUAUACCCUGUAUGUGUGC